rnacentral:lncRNA from 1 species
CACAAGGUGCAAACUGACUCCAAGCUCACAAGUUGCUAUGAUGAAAAGGUGAAGUAAGGAGGUAUCUUCAAAAUUUGAAACUCACUGGAACACACAUUGACAGUUUUCAUCUCUCUCUGAUAGACAAGCCAAGCACAAAAUCAAUCCAGACUCACCCCAGGUGUGCCGCCAGCUGGAUUUUGUUCAAAAGUCUGGGAUAUUAGAAGUAGGUCCAUGUAUGCUGAAUGAAUGUGUUAAGCAUAAGGCAAGUGGUUAAAAUUACAUUUCUACUAAGUAAAGAUAAAUAAAAGUAUAUAUUUCAAGUAGCUUUAAAGUUCA